AUGGCGACCACGUCGACCACCCCGUUCCACCGUCUCCUCGCCCCGGCCCGGUCGAACCCCGCUGCGCGCCUCUCCCUCUACACCCGCGGCCCUCCCACGCUCUCCUUCUCCCGCUCCAUCUCCGUCCGCCGACGUCUCGCUGCCGCAUCCAAGGACACCGCCAGCGACAAGGGGCAAGAACAAGAAUCGUCCACGGUAGCGGGCGGAGCCGCGGAGCCCGCAGAGGAGGAAACACCUCCGGGUGAAAAGACCUCAGAUGAAGUGGCGACGGAGCUUAAGGAGGUGAUGCGUGCGCGUAAGGAGGCGGAGGUCGCCGCAGGCGGCGGUGGGUGGUGGGCCGGGGUGGCGCAGGAGAUGACGGAGAUCGAGUGGCCGGCGCCGGGGAAGGUUCUGGGCACCACGGGGGUCGUCCUCGGGAUCAUCGCGGGAUCCACGGUCGCCCUGCUCUCCGUGAACGCGAUCCUCGCCGAGCUCUCCGACCGUGUCUUCGUUGGCCGGGGCCUUCAGGAUUUCUUCUAA
rnacentral:rRNA from 1 species